AACGAACGCUGGCGGCAGGCUUAACACAUGCAAGUCGAGCGCCCCGCAAGGGGAGCGGCAGACGGGUGAGUAACGCGUGGGAAUCCACCGUGCCCUGCGGAAUCGCUCCGGGAAACUGGAAUUAAUACCGCAUAAGUCCUACGGGGGAAAGAUUGAUCGGGGUAUGAUGAGCCCGCGUUGGAUUAGCUAGUUGGUGGGGUAAAGGCCUACCAAGGCGACGAUCCAUAGCUGGUCUGAGAGGAUGAUCAGCCACAUUGGGACUGAGACACGGCCCAAACUCCUACGGGAGGAAGCAGGGGGAAUAUUGGACAAUGGGCGCAAGCCUGAUCCAGCCAUGCCGCGUGAGUGAUGAAGGCCCUAGGGUUGUAAAGCUCUUUCAACGGUGAAGAUAAUGACGGUAACCGUAGAAGAAGCCCCGGCUAACUUCGUGCCAGCCGCCGCAGUAAAAC
rnacentral:rRNA from 1 species